AUGAUCUGGAUAUGGUCUCCCGACAUAUGUCGUGGUCUCGUGAGGAGCCCAGUAAAAGCUAUCUGUACUUGCUUGGUGGUAUACGGCUGGGAUUGAAUUAUAUUUAGCUCAGGUAAAUACUUUUAACUUAUUUUCCCUAUACGGGCUUGGGUUACGGUAUAUAGAAUACCGCUUGAUCGAGCAUCAAAUCUUACAUCUUUGGGUGGUUAAUUGAAUAAUUUGAUCGGCUCGUUUAAACAGUCUUGUUCACUUAAAGCCUUUGGGGGGUUAAUGACCAUGUCCCGGAUAUCCUUGGCAUCAUCUUACGAGAUGGCCACGACCUGAGCACGGGGUGUAGGCGUACACCUGUCAGUGUAUAACUCAUUAAUGUGGUGUGUCUAUUGAUCUUUAACGCGGACAAGAUCCGGGCUACUGAACGCACAAGUAACAUGUAAUUCGUUCACAAGAUUAUAAUAUAAAAUAAUUAUCCCAAGUUAUAAAAUGUUUUGUGCCACAUGCAUUCAAACCAAUUUUCAACCCUUUUCAAAAUGAGUCAGUUAAAUUGUAUU
rnacentral:lncRNA from 1 species